GCCUUUCGGCAAUACGUAUUCUAGAAUAGGAACAAUCCAGAAAAGAUGAGUAAGGCCCCUGUGCAAGGAUGACAAGCACAUUCAUGAAGCGUUUCCUAUUUUU
rfam:Octopus bimaculoides Scaffold24002_contig_15, whole genome shotgun sequence.